GACGAACGCUGGCGGCGUGCUUAACACAUGCAAGUCGAGCGGUAAGGCCCUUUCGGGGGUACACGAGCGGCGAACGGGUGAGUAACACGUGGGUGACCUGCCCUCAGCUCUGGGAUAAGCCUGGGAAACCGGGUCUAAUACCGGAUAUGACUCCAUGACGCAUGUUGUGGGGUGGAAAGCCUUGUGCGGCUGAGGAUGGGCCCGCGGCCUAUCAGCUUGUUGGUGGGGUGAGGCCCUACCAAGGCGACGACGGGCAGCCGGCCUGAGAGGGCGACCGGCCACACUGGGACUGAGACACGGCCCAGACUCCUACGGGAGGCAGCAGUGGGGAAUCUUGCGCAAUGGGCGAAAGCCUGACGCAGCGACGCCGCGUGAGGGAUGACGGCCU
rnacentral:rRNA from 1 species